CCGCCUGCGGGUCGAGGAGGGCCCCCACCCGGUGCAGGGGGCGGUCGAGGUCGGUGAAGCGGUUCCCGCCGAUGGUGGCGGCGCCGGCGGUC
rnacentral:tRNA from 1 species